AUUGAACGCUGGCGGCAGGCCUAACACAUGCAAGUCGAACGGUAACAGGAAGCAGCUUGCUGCUUUGCUGACGAGUGGCGGACGGGUGAGUAAUGUCUGGGAAACUGCCUGAUGGAGGGGGAUAACUACUGGAAACGGUAGCUAAUACCGCAUAACGUCGCAAGACCAAAGAGGGGGACCUUAGGGCCUCUUGCCAUCGGAUGUGCCCAGAUGGGAUUAGCUAGUAGGUGGGGUAACGGCUCACCUAGGCGACGAUCCCUAGCUGGUCUGAGAGGAUGACCAGCCACACUGGAACUGAGACACGGUCCAGACCCCUACGGGAGGCAGCAGUGGGGAAUAUUGCACAAUGGGCGCAAGCCUGAUGCAGCCAUGCCGCGUGUAUGAAGAAGGCCUUCGGGUUGUAAAGUACUUUCAGCGGGGAGGAAGGGAGUAAAGUUAAUACCUUUGCUCAUUGACGUUACCCGCAGAAGAAGCACCGGCUAACUCCGUG
rnacentral:rRNA from 1 species